rnacentral:lncRNA from 1 species
GCUGGUUUGCUGGAAUUUGGGUUGUUUUCUGAGUAUCUUUGCAAGCAAUGUGAGAUUCCUUGAUGAUCUGAAUAAUUCUGAAAAGAACUUAAAAUUGGAAAAUGUAAAGAAACUUGCUAAGUCUGAGAAAAUCAUACAGAGCUUAUAAUUCAAAUCAGUUAUUUAUUGGUUCUCAUUUCUUUCUUUUCAUUGGCAAAUGUGCAUCUACACUAAAGGAGCUGUGGUGCUGGAGAAAACCACUUAGCUAAACACAAUGGAAAAGCAGAUGCAGGUGGAAAUAGAACCAGAAAAUACCAGAGAUAUCCCAAUUUACUGAAAAAUAGCAAAGGAUUGCAGGAUAUUCACACUUCUUGGUAGGUUACUAUAAGGAAUUGAAUCUGUUGGUUAGUAGCAUGAAGAAUUACAUUGUGGAGAUAUAGAAAAGGGAAUCUUCUUUUAACAACGUUCUUAUUAACAUGUAAAAACAAGAUCUAUGCAGGAAGUGUUAGCAUAAGUGCUUAGCUAAAGAGGAACAGGAAUGGGACAGGAAGUUAAUGAGAGAAGGGGGCCACUGUAAAAAGGCCCCUGAGCAGCAGUUGACCCAGAGGACUAGAUUCCCAUCAUGAAAUGCCAUUAGGACAUAAGCUCCCCCACCCCUAUGUGGAUGAGGCUGUGGAAGAAACCCAUCUUAGGAAGUUGCCCAAACUUCACAGAACCACCAGUGUUUCCCACAUUCCAGAAAGAGACCCAGGACUCUCUCCUGUAGAUUUUCAGGCACGCAUAUGUUCCCAAAGUGGUACCUAUAUUCACAUGAUGCUCUGAGGUCAGAUGACUGUAAAAGGACCUUUCACUGGUGGUGCUAGACCAGAAAGGGCAAUUUUCACCCAGUGUGCGCAAAAGACUUCCCCCAAACAGGCAACAGCUAUGCUAGUGGCCAGCUGCCACUACAAGGUUUCACACCAUGAAAAAUUCCAACUCCGCAUCCUGAAAAAAAAGCCAAAAACCUAAUCAUUUCAUUCAUUUUGGUCCCCCGUGGAUCUGGGCACCCCGUCUCUGGGGUAUAUCUCCCUUUCUUUUGCCUUUCCCUUGCCUUGCAAUAAAUCUGUUCUGAUUUCCAUCCCUGCCUUACUGUACCUCUGUUUCUGUACCAGGUUGUUUACCCCAGUCUUAGGCAGUAUACCCAAGACAGAGGAUCAUUCCACAGUUGACUGUAAACUUCUUCUAGAACAUCCCACUGGUACUUGGAACUUGUUUUCAAAAGACUGUGAUAUAAAAUUUAAGUGUUUGGUCAUAUGGAAAGCAAAAUUCUAAGAUGGUAUCCUAAUUCCUGCCCCUGGAAGUUCAGGUCAUGUGUGGAAUUCUUCUGCAUGGGGUGUGGGUGGGACCUUUGACCUACAUCUAGAUGACAAACUAUGGCAAAGUCAAAAAGGAUUUUUCAGAUGUAAUCAAGGUCUCAAAUCAGUUGAUUUUGAGGUAAUAAAAAGAUGCGAUUCAAUGGGUGGGCCCAGGUCUCUUCUGGGCUCAAAAUUAGCAGCCACUUUGAGGCUAUAUUUUCAGUAUAUUUUGAUGAUAGAACCAGUAGGACUUGCUAUAAUGGUUUUGUUAUAAGAGUAUAAAAAAUGAAUAUGGACAAUGCCUGCAUUUCUUAACUUUACUGAAUUUUAGAUGACCCUAUUAUUUACUAACAU